GUUUUAGCAUCAAAUACACAGGUUGUCAAUAAUGGUUUUCAAAUUAGUAACAGCUUUCCUAUCAGCACUGCUCUCCUAUCCAAAUACAGGAGACAUUUUGGAAAGAAAUGAAAGAGCAAAACAUAAAUGAGGUUUUGAAUUCCCAGAAGUCCCUGAACAAAAUUUGGGAAGAUUGGACAUAACAGGAAUAUCAAGAACAAAGCUCUUGCCCAGAGACCCAGCUGGGCGAAACUCCAGCAGCAGCAACGGCUCAGGUGGACGGGACCGACUUAGCCUCUCCAAUGUCUCCUCGGACUAGCAAGAGCCGAAUGUCCAUGAAACUACGCCGCUCCUCUGGCUCAGCCAACAAGUCCUAAGUGUUUAGAACCUGCAACUUUCUAAUAAACAAUUAGCAACAGCCCCUCAUAGGCUGACCCACAACUAUCAGUUAAAGAAAAAUGUCCCUGAUGUGCAUGUCCUGUCCCCAGCAUAGCCCUUUCCUGUACAUUUAUUUUAGACAGUGACACUGGAAUUUUAUUUGUAUCUUAAUAUUUUAGCUUUCGUUAUUUUUUUUAUCAAAUUCCAGGCUGCCAUAUUUUUUUUGAGUGCAGUUUCUUUUCUGCACCUUUUACCUUCCAGGAUGAAAAGAUAUCUAAAGUAGCCACUUUUAAUGCUGUGGUUAACCUCAAGCCAUACACGGAACUGGAGACUGCAGUCUUAUACACUAUAUUUAUUGUGUCCCAUCGCAAUUUUCUCUGUAACAAAGAAAUAAAUAUGUACAAUUUGAAAAUGAAUGUACAAUUUUAAAUUGAAGAUGCAUUUGUAAAGUCCUCGUCAAAGGUCAUAUGUUAAUGCACAUGAUGUGUACAGAUUUAUUUAUGUUAUAAGAAUGAAAUACUUAAAGUAAAUGGUCUUUUAGCAUUUCAGAGUCCAAACAAAACAUAACUUGCUAUCAGCACCAACUCUUCCUUCACAAUGCAAUAUAUUAUUUCAUAACUGUGCAGGUGAUGCCAUAAAGUAUACCGGAAAUAAGAAAAAUCACUGUGCUGAAAUUCUGAUUAUGCUUGGCUUCCAAAUAUUUUUCUAAUGUGGUAUCAGUAGUAAAUGCUCUUUUGCUCUGAGUAUGUAGCCUUUUAUCAUCAGGCUGCUGGAUCUAGAUGUAUAUUAUUCUUACAUAAAGAAGCACUUUUCCAAUGUAAAUUCAUUGCUCCAAUGCUGUGUACUGUGGAAGAAAAGGGAACACGCUGUAGGAGUCCGACCUGAAAUGCUGAUGACCCUGACUUUGUGAGCGCAGGUUAGUGCACACAUUCCACCCACCAAGAGGUAUUUUCCUAUAGAAGAUGAAAUGCUUACAUUUUAAGUCGGGCAUAUUCUGCUAUGACAAAACGUAGCAUGGCAUCUGUACUAACUGCAUGUGUAAAUAUAUCAUACGGGCAACAAUAGAAAUAUAAAUUAUGUAUUGUCAUUCAUGUAGUAUCCACAGAUUUGUAAUGGUUAAAGAGAAGACAUGCUAUUUAAUAAUACAAUAAAAUUAUUCUUAC